CGGUCGCGCAGUUUUUGUCGUCGAGUCAAAGUGCGCGGAUCGCUCGAGGAGCUCAUAUUCCUGCCAAAUAAAAUUAAAUAUUUGUUAAGUGCAUGUUUAGGUGUUAGUUGUUGUUGUCGCAGAUCCAAGUUCGUAAGCAGGUGCAAAGGUGCAAAAGUGAGCUAAUAACUAAGCAAGUUCACCAGUUUUAGUUGAAAGGCAAAGCGAAGAAGAUGGGAAAGUUCGAGUACUCUUUGGGUCUCAAUGAGCUCAAGUCCAAGGAGCUGCGAUUGUGGCAGGCCCUGAUUGGAGAAUUCCUGGGUAACCUGAUCCUCAAUUUCUUUGCCUGCGGUGCAUGCACUCAAAUUGAGGAUGGUACCUUCAAGGCCCUGGCUUUUGGCCUGGCCAUCUUCAUGGCCAUCACGAUUGUGGGUCACUUGAGUGGUGGCCAUGUAAAUCCUGCCGUUACCGCUGGAAUGCUGGUUGCAGGACGAAUCAGCUUGAUCAGGGCCGUUUUCUAUGUUAUCUUCCAGUGCCUGGGUGCCAUCGCUGGAACUGCAGCUGUUAAGAUCCUCAUCGAUCGCGACUAUUAUAAUGGCUUGGGUCACACCUCGCUGGCCCAAAAUAUCACAGAACUGCAGGGCGUGGGAAUUGAGUUCUUCCUGGGACUUUUGCUGGUUCUCGUUGUGUUUGGAGCCUGCGAUCCCCACAAGCCCGACUCCCGCUACACGGCGCCCCUGGCCAUUGGAAUGGCGGUGACCCUGGGUCACCUGGGCACCAUUCGGUACACCGGGGCUAGUAUGAAUCCCGCCCGCACGGUGGGCACUGCCUUUGCCACCGACAACUGGACAUCGCAUUGGGUGUACUGGGUGGGACCUGUGCUGGGGGGCGUGGCUGCCGCCCUGCUCUACACCCAGGUCCUGGAGGCGAAACCCGCCCCAAAGACGAACGAGGCUUCCGAGAAGUACCGAACGCACGCCGAUGAACGCGAGGUGAGAGUCAGGUUGAUAAGCGCCUGGAGCGAGGAGUCCUUCUACUGAUCAGUGAUCACACCCACACUCAUUCCACACCCACUUAUCACACACAAACUCACUCACUCACACACACAUUGCAUUAUGCGCAAAUUGGAGGGAGCACGCGACUAUGCCUAAAAUUAAGGGAUCUUAGGCGACUCGAAUCUAGAGAUAGAGAGAGAAAAGCAGCCGAGGAGAACAGAUUACUUUGUAUCCAUUCAUUUCAGUGUCUAUCAUAAUUAUUUCGUGUACUCCUUCGUUCGUGUGUAUUUAUGUAUUUAUUCAUGAAAAUUCAUUUCUUAAUUAACUAAUAUUUAAAUGUGUAAGCUGCCCUAAAAUGCAAUCUACAAAAAAAAAAUACUUGUAUUCUCAUGCGUUCACAAUAAAGUGGAAAACAUUAACUGAAAA